GCUGGGCACAGUGGCACAUGCCUGUAAUCCCCAGGACUCAGGAGGCUGAGACAGGAGGAUCACAUGUUUGAGGCCAGCCUCAGAAACUUAGUGAAACUUUGUUUCAG
rnacentral:sRNA from 1 species